rnacentral:rRNA from 1 species
UGGGGAAUAUUGCACAAUGGGCGAAAGCCUGAUGCAGCAACGCCGCGUGAGGGACGACGGCCUUCGGGUGUAAACCUCUUUNGCAAGGAAGAAGCGAAAGUGACGGUACUUGCAGAAAAGCGCCGGCUAACUACGUGCCAGCAGCCGCGGUAAUACGUAGGGCGCAAGCGUUAUCCGGAAUUAUUGGGCGUAAGAGCUCGUAGGCGGUUUGUCGCGUCUGCUGUGAAAACCCGAGGCUCAACCUCGGGACCUGCAGUGGGUACGGGCAGACUAGAGUGCGGUAGGGGAGAUUGGAAGCUCCUGGUGUAGCGGUGGAAUGCGCAGAUAUCAGGAAGAACACCGAUGGCGAAGGCAGAUCUCCUGGG